rnacentral:rRNA from 1 species
UACCAGCACCCCGAGUGGUCGGGACGAUUAUUGGGCCUAAAGCAUCCGUAGCCGGUCCUACAAGUCUUCCGUUAAAUCCACCUGCUUAACAGAUGGGCUGCGGAAGAUACUAUAGGGCUAGGAGGCGGGAAAGGCAAGCGGUACUCAGUGGGUAGGGGUAAAAUCCUCUGAUCCAUUGAAGACCACCAGUGGCGAAGGCGGCUUGCCAGAACGCGCUCGACGGUGAGGGAUGAAAGCUGGGGGAGCAAACCGG